rnacentral:misc_RNA from 1 species
AAGACUAUAGACCUGCGGAGUACCUGCGGAGGGAUCAUUACAGAGAACUUGCCCUUCGGGGUAAUCUCCCACCCUUUGUUUACAAUACCAUGUUGCUUUGGCAGGCCCGUCUUCUUGACCACUGGCCUUGGCUGGUCCGUGCCUGCCAGAGGAUUAAAAACCCUACUUUUUUGUGUUUCUGAGUUUAGUUUCAAUAGUUAAAACUUUCAACAACGGAUCUCUAGAUCGGAAGAGCACACG